UUUGGGUUCUCACCAUUCCGUGAAGCUUGAACCAGUCAGGGGUCCCAGGUGGUGGGUGAGGGUCCGGAGUGCUCGAGACAGGCAGAGCCUCCAGUGUGAUCAGUCAGGAGAAGAUGAAGUCCCAGUGGAAUUGAUGCAGAUUUUGGAUCCAGGUAUCAGAACCUUACUUGAGCGUGGGUAGAGGUUUUUGUAGGGAAACAACAAUGGUUCAAGGGAGGAGACUAGAUUUGUUUUUGGGCAAACUGAUGGCUCAGGGAAGUAUACCAAAGUUGUUUUGUUCAGGCUAGACCACAGGAGCUGGUUAUU